rnacentral:tRNA from 1 species
GUCUAUGUAAUUUAUAAAAAAUACCGGUCUUGUAAACCGGAAAAAGAAUUUAUUCUCUUGGACU